ACUGCUCGUAAUAAUCACACAUCUCUUCGUGGUGAGCAGCAGGCAACGAUCUUAUGAUUGGCUGAGAUGUGAAA
rnacentral:ribozyme from 10 species